GGCGAACGCUGGCGGCGUGCUUAACACAUGCAAGUCGAACGGAAAGGCCCUGCUUUUGUGGGGUGCUCGAGUGGCGAACGGGUGAGUAACACGUGAGUAACCUGCCCUUGACUUUGGGAUAACUUCAGGAAACUGGGGCUAAUACCGGAUAGGAGCUCCUGCUGCAUGGUGGGGGUUGGAAAGUUUCGGCGGUUGGGGAUGGACUCGCGGCUUAUCAGCUUGUUGGUGGGGUAGUGGCUUACCAAGGCUUUGACGGGUAGCCGGCCUGAGAGGGUGACCGGCCACAUUGGGACUGAGAUACGGACCAGACUCCUACGGGAGGCAGCAGUGGGGAAUAUUGCACAAUGGGCGGAAGCCUGAUGCAGCAACGCCGCGUGCGGGAUGACGGCCUUCGGGUUGUAAACCGCUUUCGCCUGUGACGAAGCGUGAGUGACGGUAAUGGGUAAAGAAGCACCGGCUAACUACGUG
rnacentral:rRNA from 1 species